GCCAUAUAUGGACAGGAGCCGGGACCCUGCAGCCCGGUGGCGAUCAGGGCUGCCGCCACCUCGGCCGACCCGGCAUCUCGGGCUCCCUGGGGCCGCAGCCUUGGCGGUAGGGCAGGGCUGGCGAGGAGGCUGGGGACAGGCGAGCUGCGGGUGGCGGGGGCUCGGCGGCGUGGGCCUCCCGGUCCCAGGAGCUCCGGCCAGGCAGCGGGCGCGGGCUCUGACCAAAUAAGGCCUGGCCCACGGGCCUGCGGCCUCCCCUCCUCCCAGCCCAGCCAGCCGCCUGGACGCUGGCCCUGUGGCUCGAAGGGGAGUCCCCCUGAGAAGCACCCCCAGGAGAGGAGCCUCCGUUUAGAACUUCUGGAAUGUUCCAUUUGGAACCUUCAGAAGGCUCCAUCUACAAUCUUGAGAGAAGGCCAGGUGCAGACAGAUUCCGGGAACUCCCACAGCCCCACGGGAGCCCCAGCCAGCCCCAGGGCACCAGCCGCAUCCAUCCCAGCUGUGAGCACACCCACCCCAGUCCCCAUGCCCCGGGGGGGUCUGCUCUUGGACUCCGUUGGCAGGUCCCAGGCACACUGGUCAGACCCUUGCCAGCGCCUGGGCUGUGGGGUCGAGGGCAAGGCUGGCCGAGGGAGGGGCCCUGGGCUCUCGAGAUCACUGGGGACCCCUGGGCAGUGACCUGUCCCCACCUGUCCCUGUGAGGGCCAGUGUGAGCCCUGGAGGGAGGACGUGCCCCUCUGAACCAGCUGGAGCCCCACCUGGGGAGCAAACCCCUGCAGUUUCUGUUUCUUUAAAGUGGGGAGAGAAGGAAUAUGUUCCCAGAGACACCCAACUGGAGAGCUCCUGGGCAGACUUCAAUGCUCUAAGGCUCUUUCUGAUGACACUGGCCCCACCUGGAGAGUCCGGGGUGAUCUCUCCAUGAGGUCAGCUGCUUGGGUCGCUGAGUCCCGGGCGUCACGCCCAGCGCGGUGGCUGCAGGGAACAGCACCGCAGCGCAUGUGGAAAAGCAGCUGAGGGCAGAGCCUGAAGUCCUCACCACAGGGAAAAAGCAGAACGUGUUAUAACCGUGUCCGUGAGGGAUGUCAGCUUUCAGACUUACUGUGGCGAUCGCUUCACAGCGCACACAAACAGCGAACCGUGAUGUCCCACACCUGAAACUAACACAACGUCAGGUGUCAGUUAUACCUCAAUGGAAAUAAGGAAUGGAUCAGUCAAAAUAAACAAAGAUUUCCUCGAUAAAAACUGAAACGUCCACAACUAAAAGGACCUGCAACUAAAAUUUACAACUAUGCACUGGGGGCCUUUGGGGAGAGAAGAAGAAGGAAAAAAACACUCGAAACAUCAAAUGAGUAGAAAUCGAAAAAAACCCCCACCAUCUUUAAAUGUUCCUUAAAAGUGGGUCACUCCAAUUUGCUUUGCAUUUCACUUAUUCUAUGAUUUCUCACGGGUUUCUUUAUCUUCUUUCCUGCCCACGUGAUGCCACAGCCCUAAGACCCUCCAAUCCAUGCAUA